CCUACGGGUGGCUGCAGUGGGGAAUAUUGGACAAUGGGCGAAAGCCUGAUCCAGCCAUGCCGCGUGUGUGAAGAAGGCCUUCGGGUUGUAAAGCACUUUCAGUGGGGAAGAAAGCCUUGGGGCUAAUACCCUCGAGGAAGGACAUCACCCACAGAAGAAGCACCGGCUAACUCCGUGCCAGCAGCCGCGGUAAUACGGAGGGUGCGAGCGUUAAUCGGAAUUACUGGGCGUAAAGCGCGCGUAGGCGGUCUGAUAAGCCGGUUGUGAAAGCCCCGGGCUCAACCUGGGAACGGCAUCCGGAACUGUCAGGCUAGAGUGCAGUAGAGGAAGGUAGAAUUCCCGGUGUAGCGGUGAAAUGCGUAGAGAUCGGGAGGAAUACCAGUGGCGAAGGCGGCCUUCUGGACUGACACUGACGCUGAGGUGCGAAAGCGUGGGUAGCAAACAGGAUUAGAUACCCCGGUAGUC
rnacentral:rRNA from 1 species